CCUCUGUUGCAGUUUUCCGAGGGCGCAAUCACCGCAGCUGGUUGAACAAGAUGGCGGCGUUCGAGAAGGGCAAUUUGGGUGGGGAAAAGAAGGCAUUAAAUUGCGAGGGCGGCUUCCAGUCCAAUUGACGUGGUGGACAAUCCUGCCCCACCACC